UACAGAGGUCCCGAGCGUUGUUCGGAUUCACUGGGCGUAAAGGGUGCGUAGGUGGCAAGGUAAGUUUGAUGUGAAAUCCCGGAGCUCAACUCCGGAACUGCCUUUGAUACUGGCAAUCUUGAGGCUGGAAGAGGUUAGUGGAAUCCCCAGUGUAGAGGUGAAAUUCGUAGAUAUUGGGAAGAACACCAGUGGCGAAGGCGGCUAACUGGUCCAGAUCUGACGCUGAGGUGCGAAAGCGUGGGGAGCAAACAGG
rnacentral:rRNA from 1 species